UUUAAAGAAUUCUUGAAUAGAGAGUGAGAGAAGUUUGUUACUAAAUAUUUAGGACUUUUCAUUGAAUUAUUUUUAAACAAAUAAUUAUUAGUUUUGUAAUGAAAAAUUUGAUUUCCUUCCUAUUUUAGGGUGACGCGUAAUGUUGUACGAAAAUCUCAAUCCGUCAGUAAGGUGAAAAAGGAAGGUCAAGAGCAGAAGCCGGAGCAAUAGAAGCAGCAAGUUGAGGAAGGUGGUGAACCCAAUAAGGUGGAGAAAGCUGCUCAGGAGACAGUUGAAACGCCUUCUAUGCCGGAGACGCAGGAAGAGAAGAAGCCAGAAUCGACCACAGAUGCCAGUUGUGAAGAAAGCAACAACGGUGCACCGUGUGCGUGAAUAGAUGCAUGAAUUUUCACGUGGGUACCACCACGUGAAAGGGUGACGCGUAAUGCUGUACGAAAAUCUCAAUCCGUCAGUAAGGUGAAAAAGGAAGGUCAAGAGCAGAAGCCGGAGCAAUAGAAGCAGCAAGUUGAGGAAGGUGGUGAACCCAAUAAGGUGGAGAAAGCUGCUCAGGAGACAGUUGAAACGCCUUCUAUGCCGGAGACGCAGGAAGAGAAGAAGCCAGAAUCGACCACAGAUGCCAGUUGUGAAGAAAGCAACAACGGUGCACCGUGUGCGUGAAUAGAUGCAUGAAUUUUCACGUGGGUACCACCACGUGAAAGGGUGACGCGUAAUGCUGUACGAAAAUCUCAAUCCGUCAGUAAGGUGAAAAAGGAAGGUCAAGAGCAGAAGCCGGAGCAAUAGAAGCAGCAAGUUGAGGAAGGUGGUGAACCCAAUAAGGUGGAGAAAGCUGCUCAGGAGACAGUUGAAACGCCUUCUAUGCCGGAGACGCAGGAAGAGAAGAAGCCAGAAUCGACCACAGAUGCCAGUUGUGAAGAAAGCAACAACGGUGCACCGUGUGCGUGAAUAGAUGCAUGAAUUUUCACGUGGGUACCACCACGUGAAAGGGUGACGCGUAAUGCUGUACGAAAAUCUCAAUCCGUCAGUAAGGUGAAAAAGGAAGGUCAAGAGCAGAAGCCGGAGCAACAGAAGCAGCAAGUUGAGGAAGGUGGUGAACCCAAUAAGGUGGAGAAAGCUGCUCAGGAGACAGUUGAAACGCCUUCUAUGCCGGAGACGCAGGAAGAGAAGAAGCCAGAAUCGACCACAGAUGCCAGUUGUGAAGGAAGCAACAACGGUGAAGGUGCAAACAGGUGUCUUUCACUGUGUUAUCACGAGAAUGGCAACGACAAUUGAAGAGAACCUCCAGGAAGACAAUUUUCUAUACCAUCGUGUGAGGGAUGUCAACAUUCGAUGUGACCUUGCGGAACACAAUUUCGGCAUGACAAAGUUGCAGGACAUCUAGAGGAAGGAGCAACGAGGUGGUAUUAAAGAUGCCAUUGCAGGGCAGCGGAAACUCAAGGAGGAUGACAAGAAGGAAUUAACGGAUCUCCUUGAUUGUCAUUUCUGAUCCGGAGAAGCAGCCAAUUAAGUCAGUGUCCCGGAAGACAAACAAGAGACGCUUCCUGAGCAGAUAAACUUUGAGGAUUUCACGGUGACGCGUAAUGCUGUACGAAAAUCUCAAUCCGUCAGUAAGGUGAAAAAGGAAGGUCAAGAGCAGAAGCCGGAGCAACAGAAGCAGCAAGUUGAGGAAGGUGGUGAACCCAAUAAGGUGGAGAAAGCUGCUCAGGAGACAGUUGAAACGCCUUCUAUGCCGGAGACGCAGGAAGAGAAGAAGCCAGAAUCGACCACAG